GGGUGAGGAACACGUAAGAAACCUGCCUUUAAGACGAGGAUAACUAUUGGAAACGAUAGCUAAUACUGGAUAGGAUAUUUGAUCGCAUGAUCGAAUAUUUAAAGGAGCUCAUGGCUCCACUUAGAGAUGGUCUUGCGUUGCAUUAGCUAGUUGGUAGGGUAACGGCCUACCAAGGCGACGAUGCAUAGCUGGUCUGAGAGGAUGAACAGCCACACUGGGACUGAGACACGGCCCAGACUCC
rnacentral:rRNA from 1 species